rnacentral:rRNA from 1 species
GAUUUCUGGUUUGGUGCGCUUGGCCCGCUGCGGUUACGUAUGUGAGUGCUGACGCGUACCUGCCAUCCUUCUAGAGCGCCCGUUCCCCUCUUCAUUGAGAUGGAGCGGCGCCGUUCUAGAUCGUUUACUUUGAAAAAAUUAGAGUGUUUCAAGCAGGCGUUUGCUGUGAAUACAUUAGCAUGGAAUAAUAAUGUAGGACUUUGGUUCUAUUUUGUUGGUUUCUAUGACCGAAGUCAUGAUUGAUAGGGAUAGUUGGGGGUGCUAGUAUUCAGUGGCCAGAGGUGAAAUUCUCGGAUUCCCUGAAGACUGACUAGUGCGAAAGCAUU